GGGUGAGUAACACGUAGGCAACCUGCCUCAUAGAGGGGAAUAGCCUUCCGAAAGGGAGAUUAAUACCGCAUAAGAUUGUAGCUUCGCAUGAAGUAGCAAUUAAAGGAGCAAUCCGCUAUGAGAUGGGCCCGCGGCGCAUUAGCUAGUUGGUGAGGUAACGGCUCACCAAGGCGACGAUGUGUAGCCGACCUGAGAGGGUGAUCGGCCACAUUGGGACUGAGACACGGCCCAGACUCCUACGGGAGGCAGCAGUGGGGAAUAUUGCACAAUGGGGGAAACCCUGAUGCAGCAACGCCGCGUGAGUGAUGACGGCCUUCGGGUUGUAAAGCUCUGUCUUCAGGGACGAUAAUGACGGUACCUGAGGAGGAAGCCACGGCUAACUACGUGCCAGCAGCCGCGGUAAUACGUAGGUGGCGAGCGUUGUCCGGAUUUACUGGGCGUAAAGGGAGCGUAGGCGGAUUUUUAAGUGAGAUGUGAAAUACUCGGGCUCAACUUGAGUGCUGCAUUUCAAACCGGAAGUCUAGAGUGCAGGAGAGGAGAAUGGAAUUCCUAGUGUAGCGGUGAAAUGCGUAGAGAUUAGGAAGAACACCAGUGGCGAAGGCGAUUCUCUGGACUGUAACUGACGCUGAGGCUCGAAAGCGUGGGGAGCAAACAGGAUUAGAUACCCUGAUAGUCCACGCCGUAAACGAU
rnacentral:rRNA from 1 species